UCGCCAAGAACUUCGCGGCCAUGGGCUCUC
rnacentral:sRNA from 1 species